GGUCCUAUAGCUCAGUUGGUUAGAGCACCUGACUCAUAAUCAGGUGGUCCGAGGUUCGAGUCCUCGUGGGACCACCA
rnacentral:tRNA from 1 species